AGGUCUGGACAUGAAAAAAGUUUGCUGUGAUGGCAUCUUGGGAUACGCAUCGGCACAAGUGGUUUGCCUAAGCGACUGCAGGGGUGAGGGACGCAGAACUAGUAGCAGAUACUCAAGGCACACAGGAAGAUUUCCUCAGUGUUUCUAAAGCAUCAGCACAACCCAUCCCCAAAACCUUGAUGACAGAAGGAAUAAUCUGCUUCCUGCAGAACCCUGAUGUAGAAACAAUUUUGUUUCUAUUUCCAGAACAGACCUCUUUGGCCUGAUUCUAAUCUCACCUCCGUUUUACAUGGGCUUCAAUGACUUCUGUGAGUCACUCCAUAUUUACACUGGUGUCCGUGAGAUCAGAAUCUGGCCCAGAUGGUGCCUAUGACCCAGAGACCAUACUUAGCUCUUUCUUUGCUGAAAAAUGACCAGGUGUACCAAGGUUUAGAAAGUUGGGGGGAGGGUCCCCCAGUUAUUUUUCAGGUGAAGUCCGUGCUUGAGAAAGCAGCUGGGUUAAUAGUGUUGGAGCCUGAAAUCCUCUGUUUAUCUACAGAAUGGGUACAGCAUAGGCCACAUCAGUGCAAACUUCCUCACAUCACCUUGACAAUGUGCCUCAACCCUUCCCUGGGAGAGACUGCCUCUAAAGGUGAAAGGGAAGGUCCAUUUCCAUGGCUUACUUCAUCCUCGGCCUCUUUGUCAGGCUGCCAAAUGGGGACACAGAGAGUGUCCCCGCCCCCCUGGGAAUUAGCUCACCAACUCAUUGCACACAGACCACCUCCAGCGUGGGCUGGACUUGGACUGGUGUCAGAGGCAAAACGUUCCACUCUGACUCCUGUGCUACUGAAGAUCCAGCCCUUUGCCCGGAAGUAAGAAUGCCAGGUUACCUGGGGAUAUUCUAGCACAGCCCAUACAGUGGUUGGGUGGAUCCAGUGUUUCACAGCCAACUGACUACUAAAGAGUCAGAUACAUAAAACAACAGCACUUCUGUUUCCCGGCUGGGAGGAACAGAUUAAUUGCAAAGAUACAAAUACACCGUUCCUAGUCACAGGUUAAAAUUAAAUAAAACAGUUAACAGAGCAAUGCAGCUGUUCUGCUUGUAAAGCUGCAACUGACUUCCAUUUCCUCCCCUGAAAUAAACAACAUGGACCCAAAGGGCCAAAUCGUGGCCCAUGCAACAGCCCUGUUGCAUUGCUGCAUGAAGCAGCCCUAACAAGGGAGCUGAGGACCACAAUGUGGGGGAAUCUCUGGCUGGCAAAGAACAUAGCCACAUCUACACCAUAGGGUUGCCAGGCAUCUGGUUUUUGACGGGAACACCCGAUCAAAAAGGGAACCUGCCAGCCAAGUCCAGUUGGCCACCUGCAGUGGGGCAGGCAGGCUCUGUGCCCCACGGCUCCUGGAAAGCAGCAGCAUGUCUCUCCACCUCCUAGGCGGAGGGGCAGCCAGAGGGGCUCCACGUGCUUCUCCUGCCUGCAGAUGCCACCCUGACCGCCAGCUCCACAGCUCCCAUUGGCUGGGAACACCUCAGGCUGCUGAAGAGGGGAUCAGAGCUGAGAGUCCCUCCUCAUCCAUCCUAUUGCCAGAGGGGAAGAUUGGGCUGGCUUGUGAGUGCUGAGUCUGCCCAGGGCUCCACUGCUUGUCCUGAAGGCAAUCCUGAUCUCCAUUCCAAAUCAAAAUGGCUCCUCUGACAACACUAUCAACCUCACACACAGGGCUGCGUUCAAAAAUCUCUGCAAACUCCAGGAGUGGAACAUGAGGGCAGCUUUAGCACAGUAGGCACUGACUGACUGAGCAACAACCAGCAUGUAUCUGAAUGAGAACUACCCCACCAGCCUGCAAAGGCUAUGCACAGUGUGUCUGCCUGUUACUAAUUAUAUUUACUGGGGGUUUUUUAAACUUAAGAUGAGUCAGAGAGGGAGAGAGAGAGAGAGAGAAAAGUCCUUUGUUGUUGUGGAAGCAGAAGGCUGUCUCCUGAGGGUGUGUGUGAUACACUACUGUCACGGCAUGACAAUGGAAAAACUGACUGCUGAGCCAAGCCAAACCCCCAUAAAUCCCUAACGAUAUCUCUUCUGGCCCAGAUUUUCUACAAGUUAGUGCCUGUACUGCAUACAAAACAGGAACCAAUAUGAAAGAAUCUCUCUCCUCAAUGAAGCCAGAGUUUAAGAGUCCAGCUGAGCCUAAUAUUCCAGUUCAUAUGAAGAGAUCCUUUUAAGAGUCUGUCACGUUAACUUAAAGGCGACAAUCUGGCAGAAAUGCGACAAGAUCCCAUCCCCCACACUUUCCCCCUCCAUUAAUAUGAAGAGCAGAUGGCUUAAAUGAACAGACAUCAUUAUUAAUUACAAUAUUGUUACACAAACAAAGCACGCCUAACAAUGUGUCAGAUCCGCAUUCAUGUGGAACGAGAACAAAGUCUUUUUCUUUGCCAGGUAAUUCUGCCACCUCAUUUAAUCUGAUCGGAAUGUAUGGGUGCCAAAGGACUGACCUAUAUGUACAUAUAUUUACACAGGGAUAGUGAACUUACUGUGAGAAAACCCUGUCUUAGCAAGUUUCCUUGGUCGCCUGCCAGCCUCUACAUGUUGGGCAAGUGACCCUACCCAGUCAAGAGUUGCAUCAGUCAUCCCCACUCCCAGGAUGUCCGGGCACAGGAGCUGGCAGCCAGGCGAGAUGCCGUAAACUGGUUUUUGAAACUGACUUUCCAAAGAACAUUACAACACCCCAGAUGAUUUUCACUGGGUUUGUUUAUUUCCUUCUCCGUCCAGGAAGACCACACAGAGUUUGAAAAGAUGUUUCGUUCUGGCAGAACAAAGGGGCGCUUCUCUGGGGCCUGAUUCUCCUUCUCUCCCUCACAUCAGUUUCAUGCUAGAGUAACUCUGCUGAAGCCCCCGGUGUUACUCCUGACUUGCACCAGGAUCAUCGUUGAACAUGUUGAAUAGUGUCAGACCAAGCGCCGAUCCCGGUGGAACCCCACGAGAAACACCCCGUUUGACGUUGAUUCUCCAUUGACAACUACUUUUGAGAUCGUGCUUGUGGUUAAUGCCCCAGCAAAUGUGCCUCAGGAGUCGUGCAGAGAACCCUCCUCCAGACCUGAGAGGGGAGGGGAAGACUCUCCAGUCAACGCUGACCCAAGUCUCCUGGGGAAAGCUAUGCCCCAUUAAAAAAAACUUGCUACCAGUCUGCAAGCGUGGCUGCCAUGACCACUGGGUUGAAAGGGCCAAAGGCCACAACACUCUUCUCCCUGCCAGACUGGAGAAGAAUUCCUUUUAUAGCUUCGCAUCUUAGAGACUUUUGCAACAACCACCUUGUGCUAGUAAUUCCUCGCCAAGCUGUAUCUCUUCAAGGAAGAACUUCUGUACAGCUUCAGCAUCUUUUAAAUCAGGUAACUGUAAUACAAUAAACAACAACAAAUUGGCAAGGUCUCAAAAAGCAUCAAUUAAUACAUAAAACACAAAAGAGCUGCAACUUAAAACAAAAUUGAAUAGCUACACAUUUGUAGAGGAAAACUGCAAAAAUGGGUUUAAAAAGCAGUAUCUUAGAAUAGCCUGUAAAUUAGAGAUUUAGAUCAGAGGUGGGCAAACUAUGGUCCAACGGACCCUCCUGCCAGGCCCCUGAGCUCCUAGCCCGGGGGGCUAGUCCCCGGCCCUCCCCUGUUGUUCCCCCUCCUCCGCAGCCUCAGUGCGCUGCGCUGCCAUUGCAAUGCUCUGGGCGGCCGGGCAGUGCAGUUGCAGAGCUGCGGCCUGACCCAGUGCUCUGGGCGGCAUGGCUGCAGUGCCACCAGCCACCAGUGCUCCAGGCAGUGCG